GGGUUGUGAGGUUAAGCGACUAAGCGUACACGGUGGAUGCCCUGGCAGUCAGAGGCGAUGAAGGACGUGCUAAUCUGCGAAAAGCGUCGGUAAGGUGAUAUGAACCGUUACAGCCGGCGAUGUCCGAAUGGGGAAACCCAGUGCAAUUCGUUGCACUAUCGUUAACUGAAUACAUAGGUUAACGAGGCGAACCGGGGGAACUGAAACAUCUAAGUACCCCGAGGAAAAGAAAUCAACCGAGAUUCCCCCAGUAGCGGCGAGCGAACGGGGAGCAGCCCAGAGUCUGAAUCAGCUUGUGUGUUAGUGGAACGGUCUGGAAAGUCCGACGGUACAGGGUGAUAGUCCCGUACACCAAAAUGCACAGGCUGUGAACUCGAAGAGUAGGGCGGGACACGUGGUAUCCUGUCUGAAUAUGGGGGGACCAUCCUCCAAGGCUAAAUACUCCUGACUGACCGAUAGUGAACCAGUACCGUGAGGGAAAGGCGAAAAGAACCCCGGCGAGGGGAGUGAAAAAGAACCUGAAACCGUGUACGUACAAGCAGUGGGAGCACCUUCGGGUGUGACUGCGUACCUUUUGUAUAAUGGGUCAGCGACUUAUAUUCUGUAGCAAGGUUAACCGUAUAGGGGAGCCGCAGGGAAACCGAGUCUUAACUGGGCGUUAAGUUGCAGGGUAUAGACCCGAAACCCGGUGAUCUAGCCAUGGGCAGGUUGAAGGUUGGGUAACACUAACUGGAGGACCGAACCGACUAAUGUUGAAAAAUUAGCGGAUGACUUGUGGCUGGGGGUGAAAGGCCAAUCAAACCGGGAGAUAGCUGGUUCUCCCCGAAAGCUAUUUAGGUAGCGCCUCGUGAACUCAUCUUCGGGGGUAGAGCACUGUUUCGGCUAGGGGGUCAUCCCGACUUACCAACCCGAUGCAAACUACGAAUACCGAAGAAUGUUAUCACGGGAGACACACGGCGGGUGCUAACGUCCGUCGUGAAGAGGGAAACAACCCAGACCGCCAGCUAAGGUCCCAAAGUCAUGGUUAAGUGGGAAACGAUGUGGGAAGGCACAGACAGCCAGGAUGUUGGCUUAGAAGCAGCCAUCAUUUAAAGAAAGCGUAAUAGCUCACUGGUCGAGUCGGCCUGCGCGGAAGAUGUAACGGGGCUAAACCAUGCACCGAAGCUGCGGCAGCGACACUAUGUGUUGUUGGGUAGGGGAGCGUUCUGUAAGCCUGCGAAGGUGACCUGUGAGGGUUGCUGGAGGUAUCAGAAGUGCGAAUGCUGACAUAAGUAACGAUAAAGCGGGUGAAAAGCCCGCUCGCCGGAAGACCAAGGGUUCCUGUCCAACGUUAAUCGGGGCAGGGUGAGUCGACCCCUAAGGCGAGGCCGAAAGGCGUAGUCGAUGGGAAACAGGUUAAUAUUCCUGUACUUGGUGUUACUGCGAAGGGGGGACGGAGAAGGCUAUGUUAGCCGGGCGACGGUUGUCCCGGUUUAAGCAUGUAGGCUGAUUGUCCAGGCAAAUCCGGAUAAUCAAGGCUGAGGUGUGAUGACGAGGUACUACGGUGCUGAAGUAACAAAUGCCCUGCUUCCAGGAAAAGCCUCUAAGCAUCAGGUAACAUUAAAUCGUACCCCAAACCGACACAGGUGGUCAGGUAGAGAAUACCAAGGCGCUUGAGAGAACUCGGGUGAAGGAACUAGGCAAAAUGGUGCCGUAACUUCGGGAGAAGGCACGCUGGUGUGUAGGUGAAGUCCCUGCGGAUGGAGCUGAGACCAGUCGAAGAUACCAGCUGGCUGCAACUGUUUAUUAAAAACACAGCACUGUGCAAACACGAAAGUGGACGUAUACGGUGUGACGCCUGCCCGGUGCCGGAAGGUUAAUUGAUGGGGUUAUCCGUAAGGAGAAGCUCUUGAUCGAAGCCCCGGUAAACGGCGGCCGUAACUAUAACGGUCCUAAGGUAGCGAAAUUCCUUGUCGGGUAAGUUCCGACCUGCACGAAUGGCGUAAUGAUGGCCAGGCUGUCUCCACCCGAGACUCAGUGAAAUUGAACUCGCUGUGAAGAUGCAGUGUACCCGCGGCAAGACGGAAAGACCCCGUGAACCUUUACUAUAGCUUGACACUGAACAUUGAGCCUUGAUGUGUAGGAUAGGUGGGAGGCUUUGAAGCGUGGACGCCAGUCUGCGUGGAGCCAACCUUGAAAUACCACCCUUUAAUGUUUGAUGUUCUAACGUUGGCCCCUGACCGGGGUUGCGGACAGUGUCUGGUGGGUAGUUUGACUGGGGCGGUCUCCUCCCAAAGCGUAACGGAGGAGCACGAAGGUUAGCUAAUCCUGGUCGGACAUCAGGAGGUUAGUGCAAUGGCAUAAGCUAGCUUGACUGCGAGCGUGACGGCGCGAGCAGGUGCGAAAGCAGGUCAUAGUGAUCCGGUGGUUCUGAAUGGAAGGGCCAUCGCUCAACGGAUAAAAGGUACUCCGGGGAUAACAGGCUGAUACCGCCCAAGAGUUCAUAUCGACGGCGGUGUUUGGCACCUCGAUGUCGGCUCAUCACAUCCUGGGGCUGAAGUAGGUCCCAAGGGUAUGGCUGUUCGCCAUUUAAAGUGGUACGCGAGCUGGGUUUAGAACGUCGUGAGACAGUUCGGUCCCUAUCUGCCGUGGGCGCUGGAGAAUUGAGGGGGGCUGCUCCUAGUACGAGAGGACCGGAGUGGACGCAUCACUGGUGUUCGGGUUGUCAUGCCAAUGGCACUGCCCGGUAGCUAAAUGCGGAAGAGAUAAGUGCUGAAAGCAUCUAAGCACGAAACUUGCCCCGAGAUGAGUUCUCCCUGAGACUUUAAGUCUCCUGAAGGAACGUUGAAGACGACGACGUUGAUAGGCCGGGUGUGUAAGCGCAGCGAUGCGUUGAGCUAACCGGUACUAAUGAACCGUGAGGCUUAACCUUACAACGCCGAAG
rnacentral:rRNA from 1 species